AACGAACGCUGGCGGCAUGCCUAACACAUGCGAGUCGAACGAGACCUUCGGGUCUAGUGGCGCACGGGUGCGUAACGCGUGGGAACCUGCCCUUAGGUUCGGAAUAACUCCCCGAAAGGGGUGCUAAUACCGGAUAAUGUCUUCGGACCAAAGAUUUAUCGCCUUUGGAUGGGCCCGCGUUGGAUUAGCUAGUUGGUAGGGUAAAAGCCUACCAAGGCGACGAUCCAUAGCUGGUCUGAGAGGAUGAUCAGCCACACUGGGACUGAGACACGGCCCAGACUCCUACGGGAGGCAGCAGUGGGGAAUAUUGGACAAUGGGCGAAAGCAUGAUCCAGCAAUGCCGCGUGAGUGAUGAAGGCCUUAGGGUUGUAAAGCUCUUUUACCCGGGAUGAUAAUGACAGUACCGGGAGAAUAAGCUCCGGCUAACUCCGUG
rnacentral:rRNA from 1 species